rnacentral:tRNA from 1 species
CUCCUUAUCUCUUAACUGGAUAAAGUAGUUCCCUCCUAAGGGACAACUUGAGGUUCGAGUCCUCAUAGGGAGA